AUGAGGAACUGUAUUCAAUUUUAAGAAGUCAUUACAAUGUAAAUACUCCUUUAUUACCUGCUGACACUUGGGAGUGACUAAUUAGCAUCCAGCUGAGAGCAAGGCCCUGGGAAAGACAGGUGAGAUUUGAAGAGGAGUUGGAUGGAGGGAGGGAUGGGAGAGGUCCUAGGACCUAGGUGAUACUCUGUCUCCUCCUCAGCUCCCCUGUCGGGAGGACUCCAGAGAAACCACUACCAGCCUUAGGCAUGUCUUAAAGCCCCUCCUCACCCUGGGAACCAGGAACCUCACCCUCCACAUCCCUGCUCUCAGCCCAGGAUCUUGGCUACACCUGCCAUACCAUAGGCACUGCCCCGCUGGGGAAGGGUUCCUGCGAACGGUUAGCACUUGGAUGUUGGCACCAACCAAUGCAGCUCUACUCCUGAUGUCCCUCUACACCACCCCCAUCUCAGAGCCCUGCCACCCCGAACUUCACUCCCAAUCUGCUACCCAGAUUGUCUCCUGCCUUCUCAGCAGAGGCCAUGUCCUCCUCCCUCAGACUGUACGACCUUUGAGGGUGAGAGCUCUCCUUUCUCCCUGGGUGGUCCUUGGGAGGAGGUUGUGUACUUCCACCGCUGGCACUGAUUCAGGGCAGGGCUCAGUCUUCCCACUCAGAGUGGGGGCUCCCUGGGGGCCUCUCCUGCCUCAGUCUAUCUCUAGACCCUGCUUCAGACCUCUCGGCCCAGAAUGCAGAGGAAGGGAGACACGUGCCCUCAUCCCAGCUCCUCAGGGAUCGAAGAUUGGGGAGAAUCCCAUCAAGCCAGCAAAGAAAGGAGAUGAGCAGGUCAGCUUUCAGUGUUGCCAAGAGCUGGCAUGGUGUGAUCCCUCAAUUGGCAAUUAUUGGUAAGCUACUCAGAGCCAGGUCUAAUCCAACUAAUACGGACUAUUCCUACAACCUCACCUCAGCAAUUUAGCUGGAUUUGCACGUAGCUACAGUCAAAAGAGGCACAAAUCUGACUCCAGUGGCAGCUAAGCUUUUCUUAAAGGGCUCAAUCUAGGGAUUUAA